UUAGCUUUUUUAAGUUUUUUUAGGCAAUUUUUGAGUUUAGCUUAUAUUUCAGCUAUAUGCUAGCUGUUUAGGCUAAUUUAGGAUUUUUCCGUUUUUUUAAGGCUAAUGUGGAAUUUAGCUAAUAUUUCAGCAGCAUGCUAGCUAUUUAGGCUAACUUUAGCUCUUUUUAUUUUUUGGUAAAUUUGGCAUUUAACUAAUAUUUUAGCUGGUUAUCAACUUCAGCAUCUUUACAUCCACUUUGGCCAUGAACCGAUUAGUCGACUAAUCGGAAAAAAUAAUCGGUGAUUAGUCGACUAUUAAAAUAAUCGUUUGUGGCAGCCCUACCCUGAGGAGAAAUGUUGGACUUUAACUGUAGACUAAAGGAUUUGGAUUCUGAUGGAGGAGAGGUCUGGGAAUGAUCCGGGUGGCGUCACAGAUAGAACUGGUUGUCAUCAGCGUAGCAGUAGAAUUGUUCUUUAAAUAUUCUGAAGGAAGUAGAUGGUAAAGAAGAGCGGACCUAGGACGGAGCCUUGAGGCACACCUGAGGUGAUGGGGAGGGCUGGGAGGAGGAGGGGUCAGGUGUCGAUCAAUUUUCAUGAUUGAUUGAUUUAUUUCAAGCAUAGAUUGUAAAAAAAACCAGAUGAAAGGACAUCAUUUAUUCCCACCUGAAGUAGUCCCGCCUCCUCGGGUCGGGACUACCCAAAACCUCGUUGGGGUCAUGUGACUCAGCCCAUCAUUCAAGCAGGAAAAAGCUCAGAACUCUUACCAAAGUCAUCGAUGGCGUUGACGUCAGCGUGGCAGUUGAUGAGCUCCUCCACCAUCCCCUCCGCCGCCAACCUGGCCGCUAAGAUGAGCGGCGUGGUGCCGUCAUGCAUGCGAGCGUCCAGAUCGGUGGCGCGGUUUCUUAUUAGAAUCUGCAGGCGCAGACAGGAUUAUGUUUUGGAACACUGAAAGGAGAGGAACCGACAGAACCGGAGGCCCACCUGGAACACUCCCUGCGCGUCGGCGGCCACCGCGGCGUGCAGCGGCGUCCGUCCCAUGUUGUCCUGGAUGUUGGCGUCGGCGCUGGCCUCCAGCAGGCGCUUGGCCGCAUCGGAGCGGGCGUAGCGGGCGGCCAGGUGCUGCUGGGUCCACUGGCGGUGGUCCGUCUGGUCGUCCGCGUCCAGCGCCGCCUGCUCCUCGAACUGCUGAGACACCGACCGGCCGGCCGGCCGUCAAACUCUUUCCUCGAAUAAUCAUUUUUAGAAGAAUAAAGAAAGUUUUCUUUUGGACCUUGAAAUGCCCUUUCUGUCCCAGAGCGAAACCCGGGGUCGGCGGACCCCCCGCACAUCCAGCGGAGAUGUCGGAGUUCUUCAGCGGCCUUUCGUGAAGCAGAAACUCCGUAAAAAUGCCGCCAGAGCCCAAAACCCCCUCCCCCCGCCCGUGGUUUCAUUAAUUCAUGAUAUCAUUACAGUUAAUGACGGGGGCAGACCCCCCCCCUGACCAAAUGUGACCGAGCGAACUUACUUCAGCCCCACCGAAUCCUCUCCGACCGGCUCCCGCCUUUUCUUCUUGCUGCUCUCCGUGGUCUUGAAGCCCUCGGGAAGCCAGAGGCGCCCGUGCUCGGGGCGCCGCUUGCGGGCGGCCACCAUCCCCACCCCCAGCAAGGCCAGAAUCCCCACGCCGCCCAGGACUAGGUAGAUGGGGUAGAGUCCCUGAGCGCUCUUGGGCUCCACGUUGCCUGGCGGGAAGACGGACAGCAUGCUCAGGACGGGCCGAGUCCGGGCCGAGCCGGGCUCCGGCGGUUCCCGCUCAAAACCGCAGAGCAGGACGGCGUCGGCCGUCCCCACCGCCAGCGUCUAUAAUAAUCCGAAUUGCUAAGAACUUUUCAUCAGAAAGGGGGACGGGGCGUGAUACAAGUCAGAAAAAGCAGAACCACCUCCUCCUCUCUCUCU
rnacentral:lncRNA from 1 species